rnacentral:rRNA from 1 species
ACAGGUGCUGCAUGGCUGUCGUCAGCUCGUGUCGUGAGAUGUUGGGUUAAGUCCCGCAACGAGCGCAACCCUUAUCAUUAGUUGCUACGCAAGGGCACUCUAAUGAGACUGCCGGUGACAAACCGGAGGAAGUGGGGAUGACGUCAAGUCCUCAUGGCCCUUAUGGGUAGGGCUUCACACGUCAUACAAUGGUCGGUACAGAGGGUUGCCAAGCCGCGAGGUGGAGCCAAUCCCAGAAAGCCGAUCGUAGUCCGGAUUGUUCUCUGCAACUCGAGAGCAUGAAGUCGGAAUCGCUAGUAAUCGCGGAUCAGCAUGUCGCGGUGAAUACGUUCCCGGGUCUU